rnacentral:rRNA from 1 species
AUUGAACGCUGGCGGCAGGCUUAACACAUGCAAGUCGAGCGGAGAUGAGGUGCUUGCACCUUAUCUUAGCGGCGGACGGGUGAGUAAUGCUUAGGUAUCUGCCUAUUAGUGGGGGACAACAUUCCGAAAGGAAUGCUAAUACCGCAUACGUCCUACGGGAGAAAGCAGGGGAUCUUCGGACCUUGCGCUAAUAGAUGAGCCUAAGUCGGAUUAGCUAGUUGGUGGGGUAAAGGCCUACCAAGGCGACGAUCUGUAGCGGGUCUGAGAGGAUGAUCCGCCACACUGGGACUGAGACACGGCCCAGACUCCUACGGGAGGCAGCAGUGGGGAAUAUUGGACAAUGGGGGAAACCCUGAUCCAGCCAUGCCGCGUGUGUGAAGAAGGCCUUAUGGUUGUAAAGCACUUUAAGCGAGGAGGAGGCUACUGAGACUAAUACUCUUGGAUAGUGGACGUUACUCGCAGAAUAAGCACCGGCUAACUCUGUGCCAGCAGCCGCCGUAACAC